rnacentral:rRNA from 1 species
AUUGAACGCUGGCGGCAGGCCUAACACAUGCAAGUCGAACGAGUGGCGGACGGGUGAGUAAUGUCUGGGAAACUGCCCGAUGGAGGGGGAGAACUACUGGAAACGGCAGCUAAUACCGCAUACCAUCGGAUGUGCCCAGAUGGGAUUAGCUUGUAGGUGAGGUAACGGCUAACAUAGGCGACGAUCCCUAGAUGGUGUGAGAGGGUGACCAGCCACGCUGGAACGGAGACACGGUCCAGGCUCCUACGGGAGGCAGGUGUGGGGAAUAUUGCACAAUGGCGGCAAGCGUGAUGCAGCCAUGCCGCGUGUAUGAAGAAGGCCUUCGGGUUGUAAAGUACUUUCAGCGGGGAGGCGUUACCCGCAGAAGAAGCACCGGCUAACUCCGUGCCAGCGGCCGCGGUAAUAC